rnacentral:rRNA from 1 species
UACGGGGGGGGUAAGCGUUGUUCGGAAUUACUGGGCGUAAAGGGCUCGUAGGCGGCCAACUAAGUCAUACGUGAAAUCCCUCAGCUUAACUGGGGAACUGCGUGUGAUACUGGAUGGCUUGGAUUUGGGAGAGGGAUGCGGAAUUCCAGGUGUAGCGGUGAAAUGCGUAGAUAUCUGGAGGAACACCGGUGGCGAGGGCGGCAUCCUGGACCAAUAUUGACGCUGAGGCACGAAAGCGUGGGGAGCAAACAGG